GAAUGAUAAUUAGAGAGAGAGAGAGAGAGAGAGAGAGAGAGAGAGAGAGAGAGAUGGUGUCUAUGUUUUGUGUUACAUUUGCCCUCACAAUAGAAAUUCUGCCUAAAACAAUGAUAUUACAAUGUUAAUAAGAUUAUUUUUAGUCUUACUCUGAGUAAUUUAUUAUGUGCAUUUUUUUCGUCUUUCAUGAAGUCGUUUUUUGUAUGUUUUUACUCUCUCUUUAAGGAUCUCAAACAGGGGAACUGCUAGGAUUCGGUCCUAGAGAGGGCAGUGCUGUUUUUGUUCCCUGACGUCAGUGUUUGAAUGAACAACAUGUAGUAAAAUGUUUGUUUUUCCACUGUCAAUCAGGAGUGAAUAUUUUUAGUAAAGUUUUGUAAAAUACUACAAUACAUGUUACAUAACAAAAAAUAAAUAAAGUGAAUGUUAGGAGAAAUAUUUUUAUUCAGCAUACAGGAACACAGGAACACAUCAGGAAACCAACCAUGUACCUGUGAUGGGCAGGUGACGGGAAUCAAAUACUAAAUGUGUUGGUACCCAUGGUAAUGUUGGGUUUGGCCUAUGAGCGAUGCUCCCCUAUAGUAUAAAAGGGCAAGUGCCCUUGUCACCCGCAGUCACCUGUUCACUUCCCAUGAACCUCUGCACCAUCUGAAUCGGAUGUGGAUACCCGCCACGCGGUGGGAUCGCUUGUAGUCAUUUACACUGCGCAGUCUAUAUGCUGUGAUUGCUGUGUUACGUUCUGACUUUCCGUGAGUGGAUGUGGACACCAUAAACGAUCGCUGUGUUGUCAGGUUGAUUCCGGUAUUAUUUCUCGCUCCGAGUGCUCUUGUGUGAUUCGUCAUGAAGAUCGGAGUGUCGUUCUCUAGCGCAUCCUGUUAUGGGCUUAUGGAUGAGGUCUACAUCAUAAAGAACAGGGGGGUCGUGCUGCGCUCCUUUGGACAGCGUUAAUGUUCUGUUUUCCCUUCCGGGUUUGACGGUCUGACUUUGGUCUGUUUUCCCUUCCGUAUUUGACGGUCUGACUUCGGUCUGUUUUCCUUUCCGGAUUUGACGGUCUGACUUCAGUCUGUUUCCCUUUCGGGUUUUACGUCAAUUUGUUCCCUUCCAGUGUUUGAGUUCAGUUUGUUUUCAUUUGAUUUAUUAUUAUUUUGGAGUCUCAGUCAUUUUUGGUUAAUGUGAUUUCCUUAUUUUGUUUGUUUUUUUGUCAUGUUUAUGCAUUUUUGGUUGGCUAAGUUUAGUUUUUUUUAUAUUAACCUUUGUUUAAUGUUGGAUCCGAUUCUUUUCUUGUUUUGUAUAUUAUUUUUUGGACCCGAUAUGUACAAGGACUUUAUUACUUUGACUGGCUCGAGGACAUUGUACUUUAACGACGUGACAGCCGUUGUUUAAAAGUGUUCCAGUUGAGCCUUGUCCUUUUUUUGGGUCCUUGGUUGAUUUAUUAUUCUAAUUUGUUUAUUUUGUGUCUUUGUUUUUUUUGACUGCGUUGAUCAUUGUGCCAAUUGACACGGGGAUUCGCAUCCCCCAUUUGUUAAAUGGAUUUCUUUCUUUUUGGCAGGGUCUGGGUACCCAAGGGCAUUGCGUGGAUUGUUCUUGACCUUGGUGGUGGUGUUUCUUCACUGUGUGCAGUGCUCGCCACUAGCACUAGCCUUAGCAUGCCUACGUGUGUGCACAGUUGGAUGUGGUGAAUUGAUCUAGAAGUGAUUUAAGUCAGCCCUGGUGGAUAAGUCCCAGCCCCUUGCCAUUAAGUGGAUUAUAUUAAUAAAUAUUUUGUACUUUUUU